GCUGCUAUGGAAAGCAAAUAGAUAAAAUCGUACUUUCAGCCGCGGAGAAGCAUGGGAGGGAGGGAAGGCCUGCACACCUGUGGUGCAGUGCUCAUUUGCAGUACUAAUUACACUGAUGAAGGGUGAGGAAUGAUGAGCAAGAAGCAGAGAAGAGUGCAAAUCAGCAUGGCAUCCUCAAAGGGUAAGAGACCAGUCUAUGUUAGCCAAGUACCAGAAAUUUCAAACUCCAUUUAAGCUAAUUAAGCAGUCAGCAGACCGCCAACAUAUAACUGGUUGGAGAAGGAAGGACACAGUGCAAAAUGCAACACACCUGGUGCAGAUACCCCGAGCUGAAAGCCAUGGGGAAUUUGGUGCUUCAGAUCCUGCCCCUCUGCUCUCCCACAAGCUGCCAGCAACCGGGGAAGGCUCUGUCCAGGCCUUAGAAAGAAGAAAUCUUGGAAGAUGCACUGGUUUUAUAUUGAUUUUACUUCUGAGGGCUUGGAUCCCAGGUCUGCUCAGAGUCACCGUUAAAAUGAGUGUUUUGGGAACAAAAGCACAGCAGUGCCGUUUUCUUCCUGACUUUUUGGCACCUGUGCAGUUUCCAAGAGAACAAACACUAAUAAGUCUCCUGUCCUUUGAGCUCAUCUUUCUGACACAUCGCUUGACGUAUGCAAUGAAGAGUUUCUUCUGAGAGAGGUCUCCUGAAAAUGUCACUGCAAGUUGCACAUCUGCAUGGACUUGCCUGCAGCUCUCCCUGGAGCCUCAUCCUUCCCUUCCUAUCAUGAUGGCAUGGCUUUCCCUCGGAUCCUAUCCAUGCUGGACAGGAUUACCACAGGCAGAUGACACUAUAUUGAACUCGGAGCAUGAUCUUGGCUUUACUGUGCAGCAGGAGAUCGCCCUCGCAGCCCAGGUGUGCCCAAGCUGGUCACUGCUGUCCCUCCCCUGGAGCAGCCGGGGGGCUCCUCCUGCAGCUCGGGCUGCAUCAGCUCCCGGGCUGCUGCCCUGGGCUUCGGGGACAGGAACCCAGACAGGGCACAAGCAGCAGCAUUUCCCUUGGUAGUGCAGCCCCUUUCCAGGAGGAACUAAACAACAAAUGACUAAGGGAAAACUUAAAUUAUGUGGAAGCCUUGCUUGAGAAACAAGAUGAGGCACUUCAUUAAAAUACAUUAGAAUAGGCAAACAAUCUGUUUAAAUUUCACAUUUUGCCAGCUAUAAAACCUACUCUAGUUUACAGCAGGCCUGAGAAACUGAAACAGCUGGCAAAAUAAUGAAAAACAUUCCUAUUGCCUUCUGCUUAAAUUGCAGGAAGGUUGUAGAGAAAUUGCAUCCUGAUUUAUCUGAAAUAAUGCAAGAAAAACUCUAAUGGGUGAAUUGUGUAGAAAGUAAAGGUGUUUUGCUCAUGUG